rnacentral:tRNA from 1 species
GUCAACAUAGUUUAAUAAAAACAUCAGAAUGUGGGCCUGAUAACAGAAGCUGAACCCUUCUUGUUGACC